UGAACCACAGCACUCUGAAUACCACUAAGGUAGACUGAACCACAGCACUCUGAAUACCACUAAGGUAGACUGAACCACAGCACUCUGAAUACCACUAAGGUAGACUGAACCACAGCACUCUGAAUACCACUAAGGUAGACUGAACCACAGCACUCUGAAUACCACUAAGGUAGACUGAACCACAGCACUCUGAAUACCACUAAGGUAGACUGAACCACAGCACUCUGAAUACCACUAAGGUAGACUGAACCACAGCACUCUGAAUACCACUAAGGUAGACUGCACCACAGCACUCUGAAUACCACUAAGGUAGACUGCACCACAGAACUCUGAAAACCACUAAGGUAGACUGCACCACAGCACUCUGAAUACCGCUAAGGUAGACUGCACCACAGCACUCUGAAUACCACUAAGGUAGACUGCACCACAGCACUCUGAAUACCACUAAGGUAGACUGCACCACAGCACUCUGAAUACCACUAAGGUAGACUGAACCACAGCACUCUGAAUACCACUAAGGUAGACUGCACCACAGCACUCUGAAUACCACUAAGGUAGACUGC